rnacentral:tRNA from 1 species
GCUCUCGUAGCUCAGUUGGAUAGAGCGUUUGCCUCCUAAGCGAAAGGUCGUUGGUUCAAAUCCAAUCGAGAGUACCA